rnacentral:rRNA from 1 species
UACUGAUAGCGUCACAGCUCAA